rnacentral:rRNA from 1 species
AGAGUUUGAUCCUGGCUCAGGACGAACGCUGGCGGCGUGCUUAACACAUGCAAGUCGAGCGGUAAGGCCCUUUGGGGUACACGAGCGGCGAACGGGUGAGUAACACGUGGGUGACCUACCCUCUACUCUGGGAUAAGCCUGGGAAACUGGGUCUAAUACCGGAUAUGACACAGUCUCGCAUGGGGUUGUGUGGAAAGUUUUUUCGGUGGGGGAUGGGCCCGCGGCCUAUCAGCUUGUUGGUGGGGUGAUGGCCUACCAAGGCGACGACGGGUAGCCGGCCUGAGAGGGCGACCGGCCACACUGGGACUGAGACACGGCCCAGACUCCUACGGGAGGCAGCAGUGGGGAAUAUUGCGCAAUGGGCGGAAGCCUGACGCAGCGACGCCGCGUGGGGGAUGACGGCCUUCGGGUUGUAAACCUCUUUCGGCCCCGACGAAGCGUGAGUGACGGUAGGGGUAGAAGAAGCACCGGCCAACUACGUGCCAGCAGCCGCGGUA